rnacentral:rRNA from 1 species
GACGAACGCUGGCGGCGUGCUUAACACAUGCAAGUCGAACGGAAAGGCCCUGCUUGCCGGGUACUCGAGUGGCGAACGGGUGAGUAACACGUGGGUGAUCUGCCCUGCACUUCGGGAUAAGCCUGGGAAACUGGGUCUAAUACCGGAUAGGAGCCAUUUUUAGUGUGAUGGUUGGAAAGUUUUUUCGGUGUAGGAUGAGCUCGCGGCCUAUCAGCUUGUUGGUGGGGUAAUGGCCUACCAAGGCGGCGACGGGUAGCCGGCCUGAGAGGGUGGACGGCCACCUUGGGACUGAGGUAAGGCCCAGACUCCUACGGGGGGCAGCAGGGGGGAAUAUUGACCAAUGGGCGCCAGCCUGAUGCAGCGACGCCGCGUGGGGGAUGACGGCCUUCGGGUUGUAAACUCCUUUCGCUAGGGACGAAGCUUUUUGUGACGGUACCUAGAUAAGAAGCACCGGCUAACUACGUG